rnacentral:rRNA from 1 species
GAUGAACGCUGGCGGCGUGCCUAAUACAUGCAAGUCGAGCGAAUGGAUUAAGAGCUUGCUCUUAUGAAGUUAGCGGCGGACGGGUGAGUAACACGUGGGUAACCCGCCCAUAAGACUGGGAUAACUCCGGGAAACCGGGGCUAAUACCGGAUAACAUUUUGAACCGCAUGGUUCGAAAUUGAAAGGCGGCUUCGGCUGUCACUUAUGGAUGGACCCGCGUCGCAUUAGCUAGUUGGUGAGGUAACGGCUCACCAAGGCAACGAUGCGUGGCCGACCUGAGAGGGUGAUCGGCCACACUGGGACUGAGACACGGCCCAGACUCCUACGGGAGGCAGCAGUAGGGAAUCUUCCGCAAUGGACGAAAGUCUGACGGAGCAACGCCGCGUGAGUGAUGAAGGCUUUCGGGUCGUAAAACUCUGUUGUUAGGGAAGAACAAGUGCUAGUUGAAUAAGCUGGCACCUUGACGGUACCUAACCAGAAAGCCACGGCUAACUACGUGCCAGCAGCCGCGGUAA